rnacentral:lncRNA from 1 species
AUUCAUUCCAUUUUCAUUUCUCUUUGAGUGAUCCUGACAAGCAGAGGGUCUCAGGUGGAUAUUACUGUGUCUUUGAGACCUCUCUAAUCCUUAUCUAUCUCUCAUUUUAAUACAGAGAGUUUCAUACGCAGACCUUAAGUAGACAUAGUAUCCAGCUAAAAGGGUCUCACUCUGUCACCCAGGCUGGAGUGCAGUGGCGCAGUCAUGGCUCCCUGUAACCUCAACCUCUCAGACUCCAGCAAUCCUCCUGCGACAGCGAAGUUAAUCUUCUGGUUCGGUUCACAAAGUGCAGGAGAGCCUACCAGCUUGAGAGAAAAGGAGUCAUGCUGUAUUUGUUUCCUUGAGUGAAUGGCCACUCAGCUGCUGUGUUUCUCCCUGCAUGUGGCUGAAGUUUACA